AGAGUUUGAUCCUGGCUCAGGAUGAACGCUAGCUACAGGCUUAACACAUGCAAGUCGAGGGGAAACGAUAUUGGAAGCUUGCUUCCGAUAGGCGUCGACCGGCGCACGGGUGAGUAACGCGUAUCCAACCUGCCCACCACUUGGGGAUAACCUUGCGAAAGUAAGACUAAUACCCAAUGAUAUCUCUAGAAGACAUCUGAAAGAGAUUAAAGAUUUAUCGGUGAUGGAUGGGGAUGCGUCUGAUUAGCUUGUUGGCGGGGUAACGGCCCACCAAGGCAACGAUCAGUAGGGGUUCUGAGAGGAAGGUCCCCCACAUUGGAACUGAGACACGGUCCAAACUCCUACGGGAGGCAGCAGUGAGGAAUAUUGGUCAAUGGACGAGAGUCUGAACCAGCCAAGUAGCGUGCAGGAAGACGGCCCUAUGGGUUGUAAACUGCUUUAUAAGGGAAUAAAGUGAGAGUCGUGACUCUUUUUGCAUGUACCUUAUGAAUAAGGACCGGCUAAUUCCGUGCCAGCAGCCGCGGUAAUACGGAAGGUCCGGGCGUUAUCCGGAUUUAUUGGGUUUAAAGGGAGCGUAGGCCGGAGAUUAAGCGUGUUGUGAAAUGUAGACGCUCAACGUCUGCACUGCAGCGCGAACUGGUUUCCUUGAGUACGCACAAAGUGGGCGGAAUUCGUGGUGUAGCGGUGAAAUGCUUAGAUAUCGCGAAGAACUCCGAUUGCGAAGGCAGCUCACUGGAGCGCAACUGACGCUGAAGCUCGAAAGUGCGGGUAUCGAACAGGAUUAGAUACCCUGGUAGUCCGCACGGUAAACGAUGGAUGCCCGCUGUUGGUCUGAAUAGGUCAGCGGCCAAGCGAAAGCAUUAAGCAUCCCACCUGGGGAGUACGCCGGCAACGGUGAAACUCAAAGGAAUUGACGGGGGCCCGCACAAGCGGAGGAACAUGUGGUUUAAUUCGAUGAUACGCGAGGAACCUUACCCGGGCUUGAAUUGCAGAGGAAGGAUUUGGAGACAAUGACGCCCUUCGGGGCCUCUGUGAAGGUGCUGCAUGGUUGUCGUCAGCUCGUGCCGUGAGGUGUCGGCUUAAGUGCCAUAACGAGCGCAACCCCUCUCCUUAGUUGCCAUCAGGUUAAGCUGGGCACUCUGGGGACACUGCCACCGUAAGGUGUGAGGAAGGUGGGGAUGACGUCAAAUCAGCACGGCCCUUACGUCCGGGGCUACACACGUGUUACAAUGGCAGGUACAGAGAGACGGU
rnacentral:rRNA from 1 species